UGGGCCACCCAGGCACCCCGUCCUCUAUCUUCUUUGAUGCCUUUUGAAUUUUGUAUCCUAUGCAUGUGGUACCAAUUUUGAAAAUGAUAUCCAGGUGCGACAAAUCUCCAUUGACUAUGUUUCUGAUUCCAGAAUUGGGCCAAAUGGUCGGAUGAUGGGACAGAAUAGUUAAAAUCAGGGUGGCCUUGGAAAAUCCAGAGCAUUCAGUCAGUGUGCCAAAUAAUUGGAAGGGUGAGCAGUUGAAGCCAUCCUGAAGGUAGACAGAGGGCAACAGGUAGGGGGUGGGCCCGCCUGGGAGUCCAGUUGAAGUGGCGGAGAUCUGGGAAUCUCGGGGUUGAAGGCCAAGGAACAGAGAGCUGCAGUGCGGAGGUUGAAGGCAAUGGGGAUCCCCUGAAGAAUUUCAGGCAGAAUUUUGCCUGAAAGCAAGGCUGUCAUCGUUAAUGCUGCUGAUCAACUCUUCUGAGUCUUUGAGGGGACCCAAAGUUUCAGUUUCAAGG